rnacentral:lncRNA from 1 species
CAGCCAGCUGACCGUGCCCCCGUCCCGCAGAGAACGGCGAGUGGGCCAUCGACUUCUGCCCGGGGGUGAUCCGCCGCCACCACGGUGGUGCCACCGACGGCCCAGGGGAGACUGACGUCAUCUACUCGCUCAUCAUCCGCCGGAAGCCGCUCUUCUACGUCAUUAACAUCAUCGUGCCCUGUGUGCUCAUCUCGGGCCUGGUGCUGCUCGCCUACUUCCUGCCGGCGCAGGCCGGCGGCCAGAAAUGCACGGUCUCCAUCAACGUCCUGCUCGCCCAGACCGUCUUCUUGUUCCUCAUUGCCCAGAAAAUCCCAGAGACGUCUCUGAGCGUGCCG